rnacentral:rRNA from 1 species
GGGAUUGCCUCAGUAACGGCGAGUGAAGCGGCAAAAGCUCAAAUUUGAAAUCUAGCACCUUCGGUGUUCGAGUUGUAAUUUGAAGAUGGUAACCUUGGGUUUGGCUCUUGUCUAUGUUCCUUGGAACAGGACGUCAUAGAGGGUGAGAAUCCCGUCUGAUGAGAUGCCCAUUCCUAUGUAAGGUGCUAUCGAAGAGUCGAGUUGUUUGGGAAUGCAGCUCUAAGUGGGUGGUAAAUUCCAUCUAAAGCUAAAUAUUGGCGAGAGACCGAUAGCGAACAAGUACAGUGAUGGAAAGAUGAAAAGAACUUUGAAAAGAGAGUGAAAAAGUACGUGAAAUUGUUGAAAGGGAAGGGCAUUAGAUCAGACUUGGUGUUUUACGAUUAUCUUCUCUUCUUGAGUUGUGCACUCGUAUUUCACUGGGCCAGCAUCGAUUCGGAUGGCAAGAUAAUGGCAGUUGAAUGUGGCUUCACUUCGGUGGAGUGUUAUAGCUUCUGCUGAUAUUGCCUGUCUGGAUCGAGGGCUGCGUCUUUUGACUAGGAUGCUGGCGUAAUGAUCUAAUGCCGCCCGU